rnacentral:tRNA from 1 species
UGGGGUGUCGUCAAGCGGUAAGACACAGGCCUUUGGAGCCUGCAUUCGGAGGUUCGAAUCCUCCCACCCCAGCCA